CACGUAGGUGGCAAGCGUUGUCCGGAAUUACUGGGUGUAAAGGGAGCGCAGGCGGGAAGCCAAGUUGGAUGUGAAAUACCGCAGCUUAACUGCGGGGCCGCAUCCAAAACUGGUUUUCUUGAGUGGAGUAGAGGUAGGCGGAAUUCCUAGUGUAGCGGUGAAAUGCGUAGAUAUUAGGAGGAACACCAGUGGCGAAGGCGGCCUACUGGGCUUUUACUGACGCUGAGGCUCGAAAGCGUGGGGAGCAAAC
rnacentral:rRNA from 1 species